GCCAGCUAACUGUGGCCAAGGGUUCCAAAAAGGCUUCGCAACAUGUAGCUUCAAAAUCUCAGGGAGGGGGCAUUCAGUGACUUAGGAGGUCAAAUAUCCAUGAUGUUUGGUUGCCAUUAUCAUCUUUGGUAUUCCAGAUUUGGCAAAAUGGGGUAGCUUGUAUUGCUUUCAUUAUUCAUCUCAUAUGGUAAUGGUAUUUUGCCUGGUCGUAAAUUGCGUGCGAUAGCGGAGAAGCAGUGAAGUUCGUCUCUUCCACGUGAGUAAAUGGUGGAUCGUGGCGCAGAUGGCCAUGGCGCCUGUCGUGUGUCAAAUCGCGGCACAGAUGACCUCCGUUUUUGCCCAUGUUUUUUAAUGUGGCAACGUAUUUUGUUGGGCUUUUGGUAAUUUACUCCUCCACUUCUUUCCCUUAUAUGAAACACAUUGAACAACAGUGAACAAAAGGCAAAACAUGGUUAACAACAGCAGCAGUGAACAGAAAAACAUAAAGCAAGCUCUGCACAUUCUAUUGAAGCAUUUUCUAGCACUCUCCCAUUCCCACUUUCACUUCUUCCCCUCACUCUGUUCUCAACUUCUCACAUGCCCAAUUUUCAGGGGAAGCUUCUUCACCACAGUUUUCAGUUGCACAACCAUGACCUUAUCUCAUCCUCCAAUGCCACACCCACUCCCACUAGUGCCAAGCACAAGUUGUCAAAACUUGAAGAGUUUAAAUUACUCAUACCUUUUUGUAUUUUUGUGUACUUUAGUGUAUUUAAUUUAUAUGUGUACGGUAUAACAUAAUUUGGUGUGUUUAUAUGUGUAGGGUAUAAAUUAUUUAUAUAUCCCCC
rnacentral:lncRNA from 1 species